UACGUAGGCAGCAAGCGUUGUUCGGAGUUACUGGGCGUAAAGGGUGCGUAGGCGGUUGUUUAAGUUUGGUGUGAAAUCUCCCGGCUCAACUGGGAGGGUGCGCCGAAUACUGAAUGACUAGAGUGCGGGAGAGGAGAGUGGAAUUCCUGGUGUAGCGGUGAAAUGCGCAGAUAUCGGGAAGAACACCCGUGGCGAAGGCGGCUCUCUGGGACGGUACUGACGCUGAGACGCGAAAGCGUGGGGAGCGAACAGG
rnacentral:rRNA from 1 species